UACGUAGGGGGCUAGCGUUGUCCGGAAUUACUGGGCGUAAAGCGCGCGUAGGCGGCUUUGUAAGUUAGAGGUGAAAGCCUGGAGCUCAACUUCAGAAUUGCCUUUAAGACUGCAUCGCUUGAAUCCGGGAGAGGUGAGUGGAAUUCCGAGUGUAGAGUGAAAUUCGUAGAUAUUCGGAAGAACACCAGUGGCGAAGGCGGCUCACUGGACCGGCAUUGACGCUGAGGUGACGAAAGCGUGGGGAGCAAACAGG
rnacentral:rRNA from 1 species